UCUUCACACAUCUCCAUUGCUCCGCCUCCAUCUUCCUUCUCUCGGGACCUUAUCCAUCAGCCAGCGGCCGCUCAUUUUCCUGGUCAUACAGCCCACGAGGUACCCCACCCCCAGCUCCUUCCUACCUACGACAGGUCGUGCUCCACCUCAGACCACGAAGUCUGUCCGCGUUCCAGCCAUAUUCACGGCUUCGUUCCUCUUCCUCGACUGUGGCAAGGGCGAUUGCUGCCGCACGCCCAUGUGAUUUCGUGCUGAAGACAAGAAAUUAGAUAGGAGGAAGAUGAUGGAUUAGACAUGAGGAAAAGGACGGAUGAGGAGGAGCCGCGCUAGGGAUCUGUUCUUUGGCCGGCUAGAUUGGAGGAGGAAGGAGAAGCUUUAUUUGUGCUAGAAUAAGAAUCCAGACAAAAACGUGCAUCCGGAGCCGUCGUCGCACCAGCAGCAGGAGACCGAACCGUCAUGGCCAUGGAGCACCGCCGCCACCGGCCUCCACUACACGCCGCCGAGCUUGAUCCCUACCUCAUUCGCCUCGCGCCGAUGUCCACCGCUUCCCUAUCGUUGCCGUCUCGGAGAGCCCUGCCGCCGUCGACCUGCGUCAUGUCCUGAUCGGAUCAAAAGCGCGUCCGCUCGAUCUGCAUCCAGGCGAGAAAAAGAUCGAACCGUUUUUUCUCCCCUCAGCAAGGACUGCGGGUUGAUUACCAUAAAAUAGAAGGUUUUUUCUGCAAAAACGCCAUGACGGACGACACAAGCAGUAGCUGCUUUAUUAUUAGUAUUAGUAUAUAUAAGUAAGGAUGAAGUAGGGUGUUCAUGUUACGAGGCUUUGUGCUUCCUUGUUUGUUAGUGCCAAACCCCUUUGCAAUCGCUCCAAAAUUGUUGCAUCUCU